GCGUCGGCUGGGCAUUGGCGAGCCCAAGUGGCUGUAACCCACCCGCUUCCGAGCUGUGGCGGUUCAACUCCGUCCCGACGCAC
rnacentral:tRNA from 1 species